AUUGAACGCUGGCGGCAGGCCUAACACAUGCAAGUCGAGCGGGGUUUUCGGACCUAGCGGCGGACGGGUGAGUAAUGCGUAGGAAGCUACCCGAUAGAGGGGGAUACCAGUUGGAAACGACUGUUAAUACCGCAUAAUGUCUACGGACCAAAGUGUGGGACCUUCGGGCCACAUGCUAUCGGAUGCGCCUACGUGGGAUUAGCUAGUUGGUGAGGUAAUGGCUCACCAAGGCGACGAUCCCUAGCUGGUUUGAGAGGAUGAUCAGCCACACUGGAACUGAGACACGGUCCAGACGCCUACGGGAGGCAGCAGUGGGGAAUAUUGGACAAUGGGCGCAAGCCUGAUCCAGCCAUGCCGCGUGUGUGAAGAAGGCCUUCGGGUUGUAAAGCACCUUCAGUAGGGAGGAAGCGUUGUGUGUUAAUAGUGCACAGCGUUGACGUUACCUACAGAAGAAGCACCGGCUAACUCUGUGCCAGCCGCCGCCGUAACAC
rnacentral:rRNA from 1 species